rnacentral:misc_RNA from 1 species
GAAAAUCUCCGGCCUCCCCCCUCCUCUCCCAGUCCCAGAUCCCCUUCUUCCAAUCAGAUCCAAUGGAUUGGCAAGGACAGAAGCUGGCCGAGACGCUGAUGGAGAUCCUUCUGGCGGUGUUCGCCGUGGCGGCGCUGGCGAUCGGCUACUCCCUCGGUUCCUUCGAGAAGAUGAUGCUGAUAUACGCCGGCGGGGUCGCCCUCACGACGCUGAUCACCGUCCCCAACUGGCCCUGGUUCAACCGCCACCACCUCAACUGGCUGGAUCCUGCUGAGGCUGACCGCCACCCCAAACCGCAGAUGCCGGUCGUCACCGCCCCCAAGAAGAAGGGGUCCAAGCACCACCAG